UACGUAGGGCGCAAGCGUUGUCCGGAAUUAUUGGGCGUAAAGAGCUCGUAGGCGGCCAGUUGCGUCUGCUGUGAAAUCCCGGGGCUCAACCCCGGGCUUGCAGUGGAUACGGGCUGGCUGGAGGCAGGCAGGGGAGAACGGAAUUCCCGGUGGUAGCGGUGAAAUGCGCAGAUAUCGGGAGGAACACCGGUGGCGAAGGCGGUUCUCUGGGCCUGUACUGACGCUGAGGAGCGAAAGCGUGGGGAGCGAACAGG
rnacentral:rRNA from 1 species